CUGACAAUCCAUUCCUCGGGUGCCCUCCGGGGCAUAACAGGGAAGCCGGUGCAAAACCGGCGCGGUCCCGCCACCGUGAGUGGGGAGCUGCCUCCGAAGACCACUGGGCCUCAUUGGAAGAGGCCUGGGAAGGUGGACGCAGCGCUGGGAGCUCGAUCAGCUCCCUGAACCCAUGAGCCGGGAGACCUACCCGAGCCUCCCACGAGGU
rfam:Sorangium cellulosum 'So ce 56' complete genome